GUAAGUUUCAACACCUAAGAACAGAACAUCAGCUAGAAAAAGGUCAAUCGCCACAAGGCAUCUAUACCCAAAUAUGAAUAUAGCUUGUAACUCAUUUAUUAAACAGCAGGUUCAUUUGAAACCCUCAAAAAAUGCAAUGAUAUAACAAAGUUACUGUAGUGGAACUAGCCAAGCAGUCUGAGCUACUCCCAACAGCAACAAAGGGAGCCCAGUCUACUGAAGCUCUACUAAAAAUUGAACCCAUAUAGGCUUGUCUUUGAGAUUACAUGGUUUCCGAACUCCAAACUUUUCACAAAAUACAAAUAUGAUAAGAUAUGCCUGCGAUUUGCCUGGUCCUCUGCCUAUAUUAAUUUAAGAAACUAGCAGCCCUUUAUUAUAACCUAUCUAAACUGGCAGUCUGGCACAGAAUUCUUUGAAGUCAAGCAUAAUUUUGUGUGUAUUUAAAAUCAUAUGUUUUCAUUUGUUCUACUUUGUCCAUCAUCUAGAAAAUCUAAUCAACAAAACGGCUUCAGAUGUCUGAAUAUA
rnacentral:misc_RNA from 1 species